UACGGAGGGUGCGAGCGUUGUCCGGAAUCACUGGGCGUAAAGGGCGCGUAGGUGGCGCGGGCAGUCAACGGUGAAAGUUCGGGGCUCAACCCUGAAUCGGCCGUCGAUACUCCCGGGCUUGAGCACUGUAGAGGCAGAUGGAAUUCCGGGUGUAGCGGUGGAAUGCGUAGAGAUCCGGAAGAACACCGGUGGCGAAGGCGGUCUGCUGGGCGAGUACGCUGGACACUGAGGCGCGACAGCGUGGGAGCAACAGGAUAGAAACC
rnacentral:rRNA from 1 species